GACGAACGCUGGCGGCGUGCUUAACACAUGCAAGUCGAACGGAAAGGCCUGCUUUCCCUUGUGGAUUGCGGGUACUCGAGUGGCGAACGGGUGAGUAACACGUGAGUGAUCUGCCCCCAACUUGGGUAUAAGCCUGGGAAACUGGGUCUAAUUCCCGAUAGGACUGCAGGGUGGUGCCUGUGGUGGAAAACGAUUUUCUAGUGGUUGGGGAUGAGCUCGCGGCCUAUCAGCUUGUUGGUGGGGUAAUGGCCUACCAAGGCGGCGACGGGUAGCCGGCCUGGGAGGGUGGACGGCCACAUUGGGACUGAGACACGGCCCAGACGCCUACGGGAGGCAGCAGUGGGGAAUAUUGCACAAUGGGCGGAAGCCUGAUGCAGCGACGCCGAGUGGGGGAUGACGGCCUUCGGGUUGUAAACUCCUUUCGACCGCGAGGAAGCCACCUGGUUGGAAGGGUGGUGACGGUAGUGGUAGAAGAAGCACCGGCUAACUACGUG
rnacentral:rRNA from 1 species